AUUUACCCAAGAGAAAUGAAAAUGUAAAUCUACAAAAAGACUUGUACAAAAGUAUUCUUAGCAGCUUUAUUCAUGAUGGCCCCAAACUGGAUACAGCUCAACUAAAUAGAUCCCUCGGCAGGACCCGCACGAUACUUGGGACUCCAUAUUUGUCGAAUCAAUGAGAGGAACACAGAGGCUCUACAGGGUGGAGAAACCCCAAGAUGGAAGGCGCCUGGGUACCAAAUGACUGCAUGCCGACCUGCAUUAGACUGCAGUGUGAGAAAGAAGCCACUGAAAUGUUGGGGGUUGAUUACCAGAAUUAGCCUACCUUGAGCAAUUCACUUUCCUAUCUCUUUAAUCAGAUGAUACAAAACACAAUUUAAUGCUUUGCUGAUUACUUAGGGUCUUUAUUAAGAAGGCUUAUUAUUGGUCUCUAUGGCAACACAUUUCAAAGACUCCUUUUUGGACUUCCAAGCUCUUUCCCUGAUGUUUAGUCCCCACUAUCAUUCCUCUCUCACCCUUCUUCUAGGUCCUUCCCCAUAGUUUGAAUCUACGGUGGGCUGAGGAAAACAGACACCAUGGCUGGGUAACAUCUGCCCAUUGCAGAAGAGUUACUAGUGGUCUGAGCAAGAACCUAAGUGAGAAAGUGCGUGGGCUUGCUGACAACUAUUUGCAGCCUUGGGAAGCUCCUUCCACUUACUUUCAGGCUUAGUGCUGUGUUCCAGAGAGCUGAAGUUAAUGCAUCUCUGAAAAGAGUGGGGCAUUUUGGCAUUGUCUAGCCUACAAAUUUUCAAAGCUUUAAUUCUCCUACUAGUCAUCUUGGGGGGAAUCUACAAUGAAGGUUCUAAUUCUGUCCCUUGACAUUCAUGGGCUAUUCAACUUUCAAAAUACUGUCACUUCCUGAUUUUCUACACAUAGAGGAUACCCAUCAUAUGCCCCAAAUCUGUUUUAAACUCGCCUUUCCUGCUUAAUUAUUUUGUUGACACCUAUCUUAUAGGAGCUGGAAGAAUCGACUGGAAAAGGCUAAAAAAUUUUAUUCCUGUUCCAGAGGUGGUAUAAUUAUCUUUAUAUCUUGGGACAAUUUACCAGGAAACCCAGCUGUGCUUUAGACCUGGUCUUUGGAUUAUUCUGAUAGGUGGGGAUGCUGUCCCUUCCCAGCAUGAGGUGGGCAGCAGGAGACACACUGGUGGGGCAGAUCGAGGGGAGAGAUUUGGGGAGAGGCCUACAGACUCCACAUACCCUGACAGUCUGAUUUCACUAUUUUAUUGAAAGAACCAAGAUGACCGUAUGUAAGUGAUCCUUUUGGUCUGCUGCUUCAUCUAUAGAACAAGGAGGGUGGAGAUGAUCUGGGAGGUUUUCGCUAGGUCUCGCGCUGGAAGCCUAUUGUUCUAUGAAACCUGGAACCAGCACCACCUUCUGAAAUGAUUCCUCAUCAUCAGUUCUUAUUUCUUCUUGCCAUUUCUGCUGAUCAUCCAGAACUGGCCACCCUACACGUAAAUUUCAGCAUCUGCAAGGGCAGUAAUAUGUUCUGGGAUCUGCCCAGCCUGGGUAACUUUUUUGCCCCAGGCUGACCUUUUUGGUGACCUUGGGGAUCCCAAUUCCAGCUCCACUCUCCACGGUACACACCCUCUCCAUAUGUUUCCCUAAGGUGGCUUCCCCGCUUUACUCUCUUUGGCUCCAAUGACAGAAACCCAGUUUGGCCGCCAAAGUUUAUUUCCCUGGAGCAAGUUGGAUGUCCCUGCACAGCUAUGGCUGUGGCGGAGCGUUACUCCUCAUCUCUCCUAUUAGCAGCAGCACGUCGCUACCGCUGCCCCCAUCCACUGCUCACAGGAGACCCUGCGACUUCCACAAGAAAUCACUGCUAUAAAGUGGCUCACUCGUUCAUAAGGAACUAUGUGUUUAUUCAUAUAUACUUUAUGUCAUAACAAAUGUAAAUUAAUUUCAGGGCCCAACUACCCAAGCUAGUAUCUAUAUGGCUGCCUGUAUAAGAUUUCUCUCUCAAAAUUCUCAAAACCAUCUGGCAUCAACUACUGUAUUGUGACCUGUUAAAAUAAGUAACAGCUGUGAUAAUCCCUCUCGAUUUAUGGCAAGCUAUAAAGCUUUGCAUAUACUGGCAAUGCAUAUAAAAUAAUAAAUAAAACCAUUAUCAUUC